rnacentral:rRNA from 1 species
UUCCGGUUGAUCCGGCCGGAGGUCACUGCUAUUGGGAUCCGACUAAGCCAUGCGAGUCGAGAGGGUUCGGCCCUCCGGCGUACCGCUCAGUAACACGUGGAUAAUCUAACCUUAGGUGGAGGAUAACCUCGGGGAACUGAGAAUAAUACUCCAUAGAUCUAGGAUGUUGGAAUGCACUUAGGUUGAAAGUUCCGACGCCUAAGGAUGAGUCUGCGGACUAUCAGGUAGUAGUCAGGGUAAAGACCUGACUAGCCUACGACGGAUACGGGUUGUGAGAGCAAUCGCCCGGAGAUGAUAUUUGAGACACGAUAUCAGGUCCUACGGGAUGCAGCAGGCGCGAAACCUUCACAAUGUGCGAAAGCACGAUGAGGGGAUCCCAAGUGCUGGCUUGUAAGAGUCAGCUGUUUUUUUGUUUAAAAAACAGAGAGAGUAAGAGCUGGGUAAGACGGGUGCCAGCCGCCGCGGUAAUACCUGCAGCUCAAGUGGUGGCCGCUAUUAUUGGGCCUAAAACGUCCGUAGCCGGUUUAGUAAAAGCCUGGGUAAAUUGUGUAGCUUAACUAUACGAAUACCGGGUAGACUGUUAAACUUGAGACCGGGAGAGGCUAGAGGUACUCCUGGGGUAGAGGUGAAAUUUUGUAAUCCUAGGGGGGCCCCCCGUGGCGAAGGGGUCUAGCUAGAACGGGUUUGACGGUGAGGGACGAAGCCCUGGGGCGCAAACCGGAUUAGAUACCCGGGUAGUCCAGGGGGUAAACGCUGCUCGCUUGAUGUUAGUCGAGCUCCGAGCUCAACUAGUGUCGGAGAGAAGUUGUUAAGCGAGCUGCCUGGGAAUUACGGUCGCAAGACUGAAAAUUAAAGGAAUUGGCGGGGGAGCACCGCAACGGGUGGAGCGUGCGGUUUAAUUGGAUCAACGCCGGG